AUUGAACGCUGGCGGCAGGCCUAACACAUGCAAGUCGAGCGGGGUUUUCGGACCUAGCGGCGGACGGGUGAGUAAUGCGUAGGAAGCUACCCGACAGAGGGGGAUACCAGUUGGAAACGACUGUUAAUACCCGCAUAAUGUCUACGGAUCAAAGUGUGGGACCUUCGGGCCACAUGCUGUCGGAUGCGCCUACGUGGGAUUAGCUAGUUGGUGAGGUAAUGGCUCACCAAGGCGACGAUCCCUAGCUGGUUUGAGAGGAUGAUCAGCCACACUGGAACUGAGACACGGUCCAGAUUCCUACGGGAGGCAGCAGUGGGGAAUAUUGGACAAUGGGCGCAAGCCUGAUCCAGCCAUGCCGCGUGUGUGAAGAAGGCCUCGGUUGUAA
rnacentral:rRNA from 1 species